UACAAGGAGCUGCAUUUAACUUCUGAAGAGCCACGUGUGGCUCCAGAGCCACAGGUUGGCCACCCCUGGCCUAGAACAAACAGCCUGACCAUUCAACUGGAACCUGAGACAGUGCAUUUGGAUCCGAUUCCGAAUCCCCAAGGUCAUGAGUGUUCACGGGCAGGGUCUGUUAAUCCCAAAGGGACUGUGUGAAGUAUACAAUUUGGAUAUGGGAUUUUAGGGUACGAUGCUGCUCCCAUUAUUUUGUGAUUGGCUUCAAAGGGAGCAGGAUUGGAACCUCAUUUUGGGCCCAUCUCCACUAAGACAGUCAGUAUUCCUGCUGGUCCCUGGCAGGAGAACUGAUGUUACAACAAGCCAUCUGACAAAGGGCAUUUUAACUAGCACAAACUGGAAAUUCUUUUUUUAAUAUCUAUUUUGCAAUUGCAUUUUCCAGUAAUGGUUCUUAGAAUACAAGAUGAUAUACAUGCUGUCCUGUCACUGUUUAAUCUAACAUUCCUAAGAUAUUAGGCUGUAGUCUUGCUUAACUGCAUGCAGAGUUUUCUACUCAGAUCAGUGCUAGCCAUUCUGGGGAGAAAAACCUGCCAACGCUCUGCAGUCAAAAAAUCUACCAUUCUAUUCCUGAGUCUACCUUAAGUCUGAUUUUUUUCAUUGCUCUUGCCAUUUUACAUCUGGGGAUGGAGCAUGCAUGAAUUUACCAUCCCUGUGCUUUUUAUUCCUCUGCCAGUGCUAGUCAUGUGUGUUCUCUCUUACUCACACAUUUCCUCUCAAAAUUGCAUUAAGUGUUAGAGUUCUUGGCAGCGCAUACAGGAUAACAUCAUUUUUAAUAGCAGUCACAAGUGUCCUCUUUCAGAGAGGUGAAGUAAGAGGGUUUUCCAGUGGCAUGACAUAAUGGUGCUGUCAGGAGUAUGCACAGUGGGUUAGGAUCACUGGGAAUGGCUAUAUGUCUUAGCAUCUUUUCAUCAAUCAUUCCUUCUAGAAUCAGCUGACAUGUCCUAGAAAUGGUGAAUUCUGGCCUCAAACCAACACCUACUUAACCUCCUAUCCCACAGCUCUGACUAUAUGACUUUUAGUGUCAUCUGGCACUUUGAGCCAAAUUCAGACCUAGUGUCAGCAGGUGCAACUCUCAUGGAAGUCUCUAGGACAAAUUCAUCAUGUGAUGUAAUGGUACAGAGUAAGCUGCAUUAAUUUGGCAUUCAGUAGCGGUCCAGUUCUGAUCUCACCUCUGUUUUAUAUCAGUGUGACUUCACUGAAGUCUGUGGAAUUACUCCUGAUUUACAUGGAUGUGCAAAAAGAGUGUAACUUACACAAUGAAGGGGAAGAAGAGGAGGUGGCAGAAGGAAAAGAAAUUACCAGAAAUGUGUAGAGUACAAGAGGGGGGCUGCUUUACCUCACUCUACAGUAUGAUGAGUGGAACUGGAGGAUGAGGGUCCGGUUUCAGGAGGGACCUAGUUUGGUGAGGCUCCAGGGGCUCAGCAAUAUAAGCAGGGGCCAAGCUGCUAUUGCACACACACACACUAGAUCCUCAACAUGUAUGAGUGGCCUGUCAGCAAGGGUAAUGAAGUUCUGUUUCCUGUAACUCUGCCAUGUCACUUAUUGCUAAUGAGAGACACAUCUUCCUGCAAGUUGUUUUUCCUGGUGAACUUCCUUCUUCUCCUUUGGUGUGUUAGGUACACACAUUUUUUUGCACAUACUUAAAAUACCAAUGAGGCACAAGUGGGAUGCUUCUUUACCACUUACACCAGUCAUCUAAUGCCCAAUUGUGCGAUGUACUACACCAUAGUUGGCAUCAGUACUGAAUUUUUCCCUGCACCUUGAUACUGGUCCUAUAUCUUAAUGGGAAUCUGUGAAGAUGUACCUGUGGUUUCCUUCAAGGUCAAACAUGCUAUUAUUUUGAACGCCACAGAAUGUAACACAGAAAUAAAGGCACUAAUCAGCUACACAAAAACAAAAUAAAUGGACAAAAUAUUAAACAAACAACAGAGAUGAGAGGCCAAAGUAAAUUCCCAGGGAAAACUCCAACUGGGCUUUUUUUGUGAUACAGAUUGUUUUUGUAGUGUUUGCAAUGUCUCAAAUUUGAAACAGGCUCUCUUCAGGCUGGCAGAGGGAAGAAGAGAUUGAUCCAAACUGGGCUUUAAGUGACAUGUUUUGGCAUAACUGAGCUAAAGCGUUUACAUGGCUGUUAAAGAGGAGGAUGAAGUUUUAAAUGGCCACCAUGUCCACUUUGGCAUAAAAACGUAACUUUUAUAUGCAGUGUAGCUGUGUGGGUCCCACAAUAUUAGACAGACAAGGAGGAUGAGGUAAUAUCUUUUAUUCAUAUUACCUCAACCCCUUGUCUAACUAAAUUUAUGACUUAAGUAAAUCCAACUUUGUUUAAAGGUCUAGUGAAAGAGAAUAUCAAUCGGGGAGGCAAGGUGGAUGAGGUAAUAUCUUUUAUUGGACCUGCUGCUGGUGAAAGACACAAGCUUUCAAGCUUACAGAGAUCUGAAGAGCUUAAUGUAAGCUCAAAAGAUUGUCUCGCUAGUAUCCUGGGACCUACACAGCUACAACACCACUGCAAAUAUCAAAUUGGUCAUCAGAGGUGUGAUUUUCAAAAAUCAGUGAGAGUUUGGCAUUCAGCACUGCUGAAAAAUCACAUCCUAGAUUAAUUCUUCCACUUGGAGGAGACACUACGGUGGGUGCUUUAGAAACCAUGGUAGAUGACAGAAAGAUACUCCGUUCCAGCCUCAGUCCAAGCCCAUGCCACAUACUCAUGAUGGACCGAUUUAUUAUUCAAGAGCUGCAAACAAUUCCAAGAAUAAUGAAAAGUUUUCAAUGUUGCCAGUCCCCAGUAUUCAGAAAUCAUGAGUCAGGACCCAGAAAUCAUGAGAUUUCAAAAAUAAUAAAUUUGGAGCUCUUUUUAUUUGACAUCUGGUAUGUGCAUUUUUAGGGUUUUACAUUUUUAACCUUAUCUCUGCAGUCAUGAGGGCUAGAAACUUAAGGUUUGGAGGUUGUGUUUUCCCCCCUCCCCCGCCCCCAGUGUAUGCUGGAAUUCUGGUAUAGUCACAUGAUUCUGGGUCUGGGGCUUUAAGAAAAACACCAAAUAUGAGACUUGUGGUAAAAUUGAGAGAGUUGGCAACACUGAGUUUUAUAGCCAGGGAGUCAUUGAACCAUGUAAAAAUUAUACCAAAGUCAGAGGAAAACAUGGCUGAGAACAAGACACUUGCACUGUUACUGAAAGGUAGCUACUGAUUUAGGAUCUGGCCCUGUGUCUUUUGUUUAAAAAUGGGCCCGAAUUUUGGGCAAGUUGAGGUCUGGAUCCAAGUUUUGUUGGUUUUACCUGUCUAUACUAAGGGCUAAACCAUGGCCUAGGUUUUCCAAACCAACUAGGUGAAUGAGUCAUGCAACACUUAGUCAUUUCAAUAAGAGCUGCGUGGCUCAAUCCCCUCGUCAGGUUUGAAAAUCUCAAGCUGAAACUCCAGCUCUGGAUUCCCCGGAAGUUCAGCUCCAAUUCGAGAUUAACAGUUUGCAGCUCCAGCGCUGCGGGAUUUCAACGCUGCAGCAUGUGCUCCCAACUUAUAGCCUUUAACCUCAAUAGUAUUUGUCUUUUAUAUCGGAAAUCAUUCUGUUCUAUUUUUUUCUGACUUUUUCUGUAAAGAAACAUGUAUUUUUGGUGAAUAUUGAUUGCAUAUAUCAUAUUUUUACAAUGUCUUUAGAAAAAGAAAUAAAUUAGUUUGGCUUUCUUUGC